CCUACCUCAGAACUGAACGGAUGGAGCUUCCUUUAGGAGGAGGUCUUGGCCUUUUAAGUGGCCUUGUGGGGAGAUUUCCAAGAACUAGGUCCAUACAAGGAUCGAGAAGCUGUGAACGUGUUGUGAUUGCCAUCUUAGCAACUUGAGAUUUAUGUCCUGAUUGCAUUGGAUUACGACUAUCACCUUAAUUACAAGCAUGAUGAUUCACCAAGAAAAUCUAUGGUCCUCUUCGCCGUCUCGAUGGUUUGGCCACCCCGAAGUAGGGUGAGCUCCUCCGAAAGAGAGGUCCUAAUUCAACGAAUUAGUCCGGGUCUCUUACUAGAUAAGGGAAUUAAGUAUUAGUUGCAUGAGUUUCUUCCUAGACAGAGUAUUGGCAUAAUCUAGGUUUGUUCUAGAUAGAUCAUUGAGCGUGAGUCCGGAUAGAUGAUUGGGCCAGUUGUUGACACCUUGGUAUAUUCUAUGUAUGCAUAGAACAUUGUAUGUUGUUCAUUGACUAUCAUUGUAGAUACCGCUUAUCCAGCUAUAUGACAUUGAUUGUUGCUUAUUAGUCACAUCUUGACCUUAUAAUGUUAUUACUCCCUUAUUGAUUGGUUAGAGUUAGCUUGCUCUUGUCGGCUUGUUGUAUCCACUAAAAAACUUUAUCAUUUCUCGAUCCCUUCUGAAUUUAUUUUUUAAGAGCAUUAGGAUCGGUGGAACAUAUUAUAGAGGAUCCGUGCUAGAUAGAUUCACCUAGAUAGAUACACACUCUGUACUUUUGAGGCGAUUAGCAUUGUAUUAUAUAAGAGAUGAAAAAUUUGUAGCCAAACCUAAAGAUAGUUGUAAUCUGUGGUUUUCGGAUGCCAUAACAUGUUUUGCAUGCUUUAAAUGUUAUUUAAAAAUUAAAAAUUCUGAAUUUCUUAGCUUUGCUACAUUAUAUUCAAAACUACUUUGUAUUCCAAUGUCAUAUACAUAAGGAAGAAACUAUGUCCAUGUGGCGGAUUUAUGCACACGUCCAGUUGAGUUUCCAUGCUGGGGCAUGACAUUCUUACAUCCAUCCACGAGUUUCGCCUUUUUUUUUUGGAUUUUUAAUAUUUUCUGAAAAAUAUUUGUAAGACUAGUGUGAAGAUAUAGUCUCUUGGAUCGAUAGAGUGUAAAAUAGACACUCAAUUUUUUGGAGUGCACAUAGCAUAUAUUAACUCUACUUCUGUCCUUUAUGCCUCUCUCGACCCCAACUCCGACUCUGCUGGCUCCACCUGCUCUCUUUGCUCCUCUUGCACUCGCGCUGCCUCUUCAUUUGAUGACGGUGGGAAGAGGUCGGGGUGGGC